GCAGUCGUUAAAAACACACACACAAUUUGCAGUUUCAGCUCGAGUGUGUAAAAAGCACUAUUACAAAAGUUACUCCUGUUUGUAUAUAUUCACACUGAAAAAACUAAAACGCGCACCGUGGUUGAUAAACACAAUUAAAUAAUGCGUUGCACAUCUGUGUUUUGAAGAAGGUCUGGGAAAGCCCUCGCAUACUUUUGUUAUAAUUAUUUUAAAUUUUAACUGAAAAUUUAUGCGAACUGACGGCGCUGUUCUUAGGUGAAAGGUUUUUGGGAUGCAAAUUCUUGCUGAAAGUGAUAUCAUAAAGUUUGGUCUCUAUCACUCCAUCUCCUUAUUCACCAUUUCUUGUGUCAGGUCCGACGGUGCCCCGACCGGCGACCUGUGUGUAUGUGUGUUUGUUCUCUCUCUCUCGCUCUGUUUCUCUCUCCGGCUCCGCUGCGAUUGUUACGCGGUUGCGUAGCAACGGGAGAUCUCCGACCCGGAAGUGCUGCCACUCUGAGCGGUCCCACCUGCGACUGAUUCCUCGCCAGCUGCUGCCAAUCACACACCAUCGUUGGCUGAGUUAUUUAUUGGUGUGGCUGAGUGACAGACACCGCUGGAGUAUUUCACCAAGCCUGGAAACGAACGAGACAGAGAGACGGGAGGAGAGACGGGAGGAGAGACGUCACGAAUUCACGGGAGUUGUGCGGACACACGAGGGGAGCACUGAAGGGACUUUGCACUGUGGAUAACUGUGGAUUGGCUUCACUGUAAAUAAAGACACUGUUCAACUUUAACGAGAGGGCCGCGUCUGGGUUCCCUAACUCUAACAAUGUAGCUUGCCAUCACCAGUGUGUGAAUGUGUGUGUGAAUGGAUGACUGGAUAUGUAAAGCGCUUUGGGGUCCUUAGGGACUAUUAAAGGCGCUAUAUAAAUACAGGCCAUUUACCUAACUCACCACCCUUAACAUCUUGAGAUAAACGGCGUCUUAAAGUCUGAAACAGCCAACAGUGCUCAGUUGUUAGAAACAAUGUAACAAUUCAACACACACACACACACAAUUUGCCGUUUCAGCUCGAUUGAAAACACAAAGUAAUUCCUGUUUGUAUAAAUUUACCAUGAAAAGCCAAAAUGCCUACAGCGGCU